CCUACGGGUGGCUGCAGUGAGGAAUAUUGGUCAAUGGGCGCGAGCCUGAACCAGCCACGUAGCGUGAAGGAUGAAUGCCCUACGGGUUGUAAACUUCUUUUAUAAAGGAAUAAAGUGAGGCACGUGUGCCUUUUUGUAUGGACUUUAUGAAUAAGGAUCGGCUACCUCCGUGCCAGCAGCCGCGGUAAUACGGAGGGUGCGAGCGUUAUCCGGAUUUAUUGGGUUGAAAGGGAGCGUAGAUGGGUUGUUAAGUCAGUUGUGAAAGUUUGCGGCUCAACCGUAAAAUUGCAAUUGAAACUGGCAGCCUUGAGUACAGUAGAGGAGGGUGGAAUUCGAGGUGUAGCGGUGAAAUGCUUAGAUAUAACGAGGAACUCCAAUUGCGAAGGCAGCUUUCUAAACUGCCACUGACAUUGAGGCUCGAAAGUGUGGGUAUCAAACAGGAUUAGAUACCCUAGUAGUC
rnacentral:rRNA from 1 species